rnacentral:rRNA from 1 species
CGCACGGGUGAGUAACACGUAUCCAACCUGCCGUCUACUCUUGGCCAGCCUUCUGAAAGGAAGAUUAAUCCAGGAUGGCAUCAUGAGUUCACAUGUCCGCAUGAUUAAAGGUAUUUUCCGGUAGACGAUGGGGAUGCGUUCCAUUAGAUAGUAGGCGGGGUAACGGCCCACCUAGUCAACGAUGGAUAGGGGUUCUGAGAGGAAGGUCCCCCACAUUGGAACUGAGACGCGGUCCAA